rnacentral:rRNA from 1 species
UACGGAAGGCAGCAGUGGGGAAUAUUGCACAAUGGGCGAAAGCCUGAUGCAGCUAUGCCGCGUGUAUGAAGAAGGCCUUAGGGUUGUAAAGUACUUUCAUCGGGGAGGAAAAAACAAAACUAAUAAUUUUAUUUCUUGACGUUACCCGAAAAAGAAGCACCGGCUAACUCCGUGCCAGCAGCCGCGGUAAUACGGAGGGUGCUAGCGUUAAUCAGAAUUACUGGGCGUAAAGAGCACGUAGGUGGUUUUUUUAAAGUCAGAUGUGAAAUCCCUGGGCUUUAACCUAGGAACUGCAUUUUGAAACUGAAAUACUAGAGUAUCGUAGAGGGAGGUAGAAUUCUAGGUGUAGCGGUGAAAUGCGUAGAUAUCUGGAGGAAUACCUGUGGCGAAAGCGGCCUCCUAAACGAAUACUGACACUGAGGGUGCGAAAGCGUGGGGAGCAAACGAGGAUUAGAUACC